rnacentral:rRNA from 1 species
UGGGGAAUAUUGGACAAUGGGCGAAAGCCUGAUCCAGCCACGCCGCGUGAGUGAUGAAGGCCUUCGGGUUGUAAAGCUCUGUGGGGAGGGACGAAAACGACGGGUAAGAAACGACCUGUCCUUGACGGUACCUCCUUAGCAAGCACCGGCUAACUCUGUGCCAGCAGCCGCGGUAAUACAGAGGGUGCGAACGUUGCUCGGAAUUACUGGGCGUAAAGCGCGUGUAGGCGGACUGGUAAGUCAGAUGUGAAAUCCCCGGGCUCAACCUAGGAACUGCAUUUGAAACUGUCGGUCUAGAGUAUCGGAGAGGGUGGCGGAAUUCCUGGUGUAGAGGUGAAAUUCGUAGAUAUCAGGAGGAACACCGGUGGCGAAGGCGGCCACCUGGACGGUCACUGACGCU